AAGUCCCUACGGGGGGCAGCAGUGAGGAAUAUUGGUCAAUGGGCGCGAGCCUGAACCAGCCAAGUCGCGUGAGGGAUGACGGUCCUACGGAUUGUAAACCUCUUUUGCCGGGGAGCAAGCGUGCGUUCGUGAACGCGCGUCGAGAGUACCCGGAGAAAAAGCAUCGGCUAACUCCGUGCCAGCAGCCGCGGUAAUACGGAGGAUGCGAGCGUUAUCCGGAUUUAUUGGGUUUAAAGGGUGCGUAGGCGGGAUGCCAAGUCAGCGGUAAAAAUUCGGGGCUCAACCCCGUCCGGCCGUUUAAACUG
rnacentral:rRNA from 1 species